rnacentral:rRNA from 1 species
ACUCAAAGGAAUUGACGGGGGCUCGCACAAGUGGUGGAACAUGCGGUUUAAUUCGAUGCUACGCGAAAAACCUUACCAACCUUUGACAUAGUGGUCGCGGGUUUCAGAGAUGAGACCCUUCAGUUCGGCUGGACCACAUACAGGUGUUGCAUGGCUGUCGUCAGCUCGUGUCGUGAGAUGUUGGGUUAAGUCCCGCAACGAGCGAAACCCUCAUCCUUAUUUGCCAGCGGUACGGCCGGGAACUAUAAGGAAACUGCCGGUGAUAAACCGGAGGAAGGUGGGGAUGAUGUCAAGUCAUCAUGGCCCUUACAGGUUGGGCUACACGCGUGUUACAAUGGUACUUACAGAGGGAUGCAAUACGGCGACGUGGAGCUAAUCCCUAAAAAGUAUCUCAGUUCAGAUUGCUCUCUGCAACUCGGGAGCAUGAAGUUGGAAUCACUAGUAAUCGCGGAUCAGCAUGCCGCGGUGAAUGCGUUCUCGGGCCUUGUACACACCGCCCGU